rnacentral:tRNA from 4 species
GCUCCCAUAGCUUAGCCCAAA